AAUCUGGCUCUCCCGCGAGUGGGGUUUGCGUUGCUGCGGGUUCUCGCUCCGUGUCCUCCCCAUGUUAUGCACACACCGUAGUUGCGACUUUCCUGUCACAUGAAUCAAUAUUUCCAAAGCACACAUCCGAACAGGGGGUGAUGUAAAGAAACCCAUAGAUUAAUUGGGUCCCGUUUCUGAGACGGCUGUGUCUUCCUUAUCGAUACACACAUUACACCCGAAACCAGACAAUCGGAUUUCCUCCUACUUUUCAGGAUCUGUGGGAUCUCCCCCUGUGAGAGGCAACUCAGCAGCUCCGUCCCCCUCUGCCAUCUCAGCACUGCCAGCGGAGAAGCCCAGGAGGAGCGCAGAGCAGUGGAUGAGCAGCAAUUUGAAUAUUCAUAUUUAACUCUUCAAACAACAGAAGAUACUUCAAAACCAUGUGUGAGACAAAAAUGACAUUAAACUUUCAAUCAUUAAACCUCUGUUUAGCUGUACUCCCGAAAUGAACAGUUGGUAACAAACGGGGAAUUCUGAUUGACAGUUUGCCAUCAGGAACCCUUAAGUAGGAUUUUUCCAGCUAUAACACAGUGUACUCUUCAGUGCUCCCUUUCGCAAGAUGCUAUUUCAAGUGUAGGAGCACGAGGAAAAUUUACAUAAAAGCCUCAUAUAUAAUAUGUGAUUGCUCUGAAAUUAAGAAGCACCAGUUUUCCCCUUAUUGUUUUAGAAAUGAAGAGUGCACUUUGUUUUCUUGUUUACUUAGUGCGCUCUCUGAUCCCUUGAUGUGUUUCAAGCGUUUUCUGUCAGCAUCACAAGACCUUGCUUACCAGUAAGAAGGAUAAGCUUGGAGUGCCCAGUCACCGUGGUAACUGCCAGAAAAAUUCUCCUGAAGUUUGAAGAGGUCAGCUAACGGGGUCAACAACUCUGGCCUCUCUCUGAGCUGGGCCUGGCAGGCUCCAUCCUGCGGUUGGGGUGUUAGCGCAGGCUGAGCCCUGGGAGGUGGACCAUUCCAGCUCUGAUAUAAAUUUUUUGAGUCAGUUCACGGCCUGGACUCUCCAGGUGGCCUCCAAAAUCGAUUGUGACCUUGUGACCCUGUCUAACGGAGGCAUAGCAUCCAACCUAAGUAAGGAUUUAGCCAGGAACGACAGCUUUCCACUGAGUGUUAUUGGGGACAGUACAAACAGUUUUGGAAGCAAGGAGGUUUUCACGUACAGGCAAGACGCUACAAACCCCAUGUGACAAAGAUCAGAGGGAAAUACUUAUUUGAAGAAAUCUUUGUCAUUAGCUGUAUUGAUUUCCAGCUAGAGGAGCAUUUUAUGGGAAUCUCUCCAUGACUUUUCAAGGAAAAUUGCAAAGGUAACACCUCUGGUAAUUGCUGCAUGUCUUCACUGUAGAAGUAGAUGGAUGUGUAGGAGAGAACCAUCAACUGGAAAACUCCAACACUGGUCAGACAGACCUGGUCCUGCUCCCCGACAGUAAGCAGCACACAAUAGUUACCUGGCUGUGAUCACGUUGUCAGCAGAAAGUUUGAAGUUAUAGGUGAGAGCAGUAAAUUGCGUGAAUGUGCUGGGUAGGUAUGAAAUCAGGGGAGGGAGAAGCCAUGUAAUCCUUUCCUUUGCAAUUAGAGCUGCAAAAUAACCCCGGGGCCAGAGCACUCGCGCAAGGAGCAAUUAGACAAGCUAGACAGUGGGAAAAGCUAAAAAUAGUAAAUAAUCUGCCUCCAGAAAAAUACCUUGAAUCAUUAGAAAAGGAUGUUUUAUGAAUUUCCUGGGAAUCAGUUACUGCUUUUAUAUUUUCAUAGUGUUCUGCUAGAAAAGCUAUAUUCUAACUGUUGUUUGACAGAGGUAAACAUGAAUAACCCAACUCUCUUCUUACAUGAGACACUGAAAAAAGCCGAGUAAGUCCUGAGAUUUUCAUAUCUAACCAACUGAAAUUGGGGGAAAUGAAUUGGUUCAUAUUGAGCUGAGGCAAAAUAUGCCUUAGUGCUCUUUUAAGAAAAGCAGUCUAAUAAUUUGCAGGUAAAAAAUGAUUUAUUUUGGGUUAUUUAAUGACUCAACCCAGUUUUCUUUAAAAAAGGAUGUAUGAAUCAAUGAUAUUCGUCCAUUAGCUGAAUCCAAACUAUUAUAAAAACUGUCCUUUUAGAAAGUAUAUUAUUUGUGAAAGGAUGACAACUGCUGACUUAUUUUGCAGCACUCCUGAGCUGGAUGAAAUAUAAAAACAAAAAGGCUAAUCAGAGCAGGAUAUUUUUAGUCCUUUGCAGGGAACUAUAUAUGAUGCUAUUAAUUAAGAAUGACUCUCAAGGGAUGAUUUGACUGUUUCUUGCAGAGAAAUUAAAUUUCUGAUGCAAUUUUUUAAAUGUAAAAAAACUCAGACCUGAGGCUUGCAAGCAGAAAAAGUAUGUUCAGAAUUAGCUGUUUAUUAAUACAGGUAAGAAAGGGGUUACAGGUUGCUAUGGGUUUUUUUUGUUGGUAACUUGUGUAAUACUGUAUGAAAAAUGUUGUGAACAGUAAAUUACAUUCUGUUCUGUCUUUUCUAUCUACAGGAGAUAAUUCAAGAGGAAAAAACCUGUACGAAAUGAAACAGCAAACUCCGUGGGUAUCUGUGCGCACAUACACAUGUGUAUGCAUGUACUGUUGCUGGCAUGCUUGUUUCCAAGUGGAAGUUUCAGUGAUGGAUGACUUAACAUAAACUGUAAGUGUACGGCAGACUGAUUUGCUGUGGUGCCUGCUGCUUAUUUCACGAGCUGCUCUUUCCCACCCCAAGCAAGCAUAACGUGUCGCAGCGCUGUCAGCACCCCACCAGCCUCACGACGGGGACGCGCUGUUGAAAUUCCAGGAGCUCUUUUCCCGCCGCUGACUUGGAGCCGAAGCGACUUUGGCGGUGAAGAGGCUGCGUGGGGGCCGGCCGGGCUCUCGGGGUGCUGCGCAGCAGUGGGACGCAUUGGUGGCCCUGAGCUCCUGCGGGUGUUGAACACCCGAAGGGUCUCGGGCAGCGUUGCAGCCACGUGCGUGACGUGCAGCCGGGCGCAGGAGCGCGGCGGGUGUUUGUUCGUCUGGCUGCCGGACACGUGGUGAGCGGGGCCGGCGAGGGCGGCUCUGGGGCUGCUCGAGUUGCCGAGGUCCCCCCCAUCCCUACGGCUCUGUGCAGUCCCCUGGCCUCUGUGAAACUGUGCAAGAAGUUUCUUCGAAAUAUGAAUUUAAUAUGCUUUCAGACUUGACAGCCUCCUUUUAAAUGAAAACAUUUAUAUUGAGCAAAAGGCACGUUUGCCUCUCCAAAUAAAUGGAAUUACGGUUCCAAGAUCUGACUUAAUCCUGAAGUUCUUACGUCGUACAGUAAGUAGAAAAGAAAGAGGAUUGCUCGGAGGAGCAGGGGUUAGCAGGAUCAGGCUCCACUUUAUAUCAUCUUGCUUGUUUUCCUUCUGGUAUUUAAUAUACCUUUUUCGGAACUCCCGCUCGCUGCUUAUAACAAAGUCAAAGUAACUUGACAUCUAUUAACUAGCGGCAAACAAACUAAUAACUGAAAAUAAUGACGGAUAGUACAGAGAGUGCCCGUCCAGCUUUCCUGCUAGGAAAAUUUGAGGGUUGUUAAACAAACCAAAAACGCCGUUCUCCCAGAUGUAUUUUUAUCAUAAAGCGAUGUCCUUUUUAAAUUCAUUUCAGGACUUUUGUCAAAUGCAUUGUAACUAUUUGUUCUUUUUCUACAUUGUUUUCUUUGUGAAACUGUAUUUCAAAUCUGCAUUGACAUUUCAAAGGAUUUGAGGGAAGAUGUUUACAAAGUAAUGGUUCCAUUUGUUAUAUUUCUAAAAAUGCAAUUUUUGAUCAGAUAACAUUAAAAUAUUUUUGUAUUA